UUUUUUUUUAGUUUUCUAUUUUCUUUUAGGAAAAACUAAAAAAAAAAAAUCAAACACAUGUCAAAAUCUGAGAUCGUUCAAAUAAUCACGUGUCAUGAUCUCGUGAGUUAGUAACUUUCAAAACCGUACUUUAUAUAAUAAAACUAGGUUAUGAACCCACGCUAGAUUAGAGCUAGUCUAUUUGUAAAUCUAGUAUUUCAAUCACAUCAUGAUAGGCUCAUGACUAAAUAUUGGAUUGGCAGAAUUUGAAUAUCAUAAUGUACGCUUAACAAACCAAACACUCUUUAAUCCCUCUUCACCUCACCUUCUUGUGAAAAAAUCUUUCACAUACUUCUUUCCUACGGUGUCUCUUUCCAUCAUUUUAUGAACUAAUUAGAUGCAAAAUAU
rnacentral:sRNA from 1 species